GUACACAAAAAUGCACAUACUGUGAGCUCGAUGAGUAGGGCGGGACACGUGGUAUCCUGUCUGAAUAUGGGGGGACCAUCCUCCAAGGCUAAAUACUCCUGACUGACCGAUAGUGAACCAGUACCGUGAGGGAAAGGCGAAAAGAACCCCGGCGAGGGGAGUGAAAAAGAACCUGAAACCGUGUACGUACAAGCAGUGGGAGCCUCUUAAUGGGGUGACUGCGUACCUUUUGUAUAAUGGGUCAGCGACUUAUAUUCUGUAGCAAGGUUAACCGAAUAGGGGAGCCGAAGGGAAACCGAGUCUUAACUGGGCGUUAAGUUGCAGGGUAUAGACCCGAAACCCGGUGAUCUAGCCAUGGGCAGGUUGAAGGUUGGGUAACACUAACUGGAGGACCGAACCGACUAAUGUUGAAAAAUUAGCGGAUGACUUGUGGCUGGGGGUGAAAGGCCAAUCAAACCGGGAGAUAGCUGGUUCUCCCCGAAAGCUAUUUAGGUAGCGCCUCGUGAAUUCAUCUCCGGGGGUAGAGCACUGUUUCGGCAAGGGGGUCAUCCCGACUUACCAACCCGAUGCAAACUGCGAAUACCGGAGAAUGUUAUCACGGGAGACACACGGCGGGUGCUAACGUCCGUCGUGAAGAGGGAAACAACCCAGACCGCCAGCUAAGGUCCCAAAGUCAUGGUUAAGUGGGAAACGAUGUGGG
rnacentral:rRNA from 1 species